GAUGAAGAACGCAGCGAAAUGCGAUAAGUAGUGUGAAUUGCAGAAUUCAGUGAAUCAUCGAAUCUUUGAACGCACAUUGCGCCUCCUGGUAUUCCGGGAGGCAUGCCUGUUCGAGCGUCAUUAAAAUCACUCAAGCUUAGGUUUACCUAUUGCUUGGUCUUGGAGAUGGAAGCCAAUUUAUUGGAAUCCUCUUCGAAAUUCAAUGGCGAAGACCCUUGCUCUCCCAAGUGUAGUAACAACUUAUGUCACUGAAGGAAGCGAGAAAUCUUCUGCCGUAACCCCCAUAUUUUCUAUGAUUGACCUCGGAUCAGGUAGGGAUACCCGCUGAACUUAAGCAUAUCAAUAAGCGGAGGA
rnacentral:misc_RNA from 1 species